rnacentral:rRNA from 1 species
ACGGGCGGUGAGUGCAACUGACGCUGAGGCUCGAAAGUGUAGGUAUCAAACAGGAUUAGAUACCCUGGUAGUCCACACAGUAAACGAUGAAUACUCGCGGUUGGUUCGUUAGAGUCAGCCGCCAAGCGAAAGCGUUAAGUAUUCCACCUGGGGAGUACGCCGGCAACGGUGAAACUCAAAGGAAUUGACGGGGGCCCGCACAAGCGGAGGAACAUGUGGUUUAAUUCGAUGAUACGCGAGGAACCUUACCCGGGCUUGAACUGCCAGUGACUCAUGCAGAGACGCAUGUUUCUUCGGACACUGGCGGAGGUGCUGCAUGGUUGUCGUCAGCUCGUGCCGUGAGGUGUCGGCUUAAGUGCCAUAACGAGCGCAACCCUUCUCCCUGUUUGCCAUCGGGUAAUGCCGGGCACUCCAGGGACACUGCCAUCGUAAGAUGUGAGGAAGGUGGGGAUGACGUCAAAUCAGCACGGCCCUUACGUCCGGGGCUACACACGUGUUACAAUGGGCGGUACAGAAAGCAGCUACCCCGCGAGGGGAUGCCAAUCUCAAAAACCGUUCUCAGUUCGGACUGGAGUCUGCAACCCGACUCCACGAAGCUGGAUUCGCUAGUAAUCGCGCAUCAGCCAUGGCGCGGUGAAUACGUUCCCGGGCCUUGUACUCACCGCCCU